rnacentral:rRNA from 1 species
UACGUAGGGGGCGAGCGUUGUCCGGAUUCAUUGGGCGUAAAGAGCUCGUAGGCGGCUUGGCAAGUCGGGUGUGAAAACUCCAGGCUCAACCUGGAGAUGCCACCCGAUACUGCUAUGGCUUGAGUUCGGUAGGGGACCACGGAAUUCCUGGUGUAGCGGUGAAAUGCGCAGAUAUCAGGAGGAACACCGGUGGCGAAGGCAGUGUCCUGGGGAGCAUCUGACGCUCAGGUGCGAAAGCUAGGGGAGCGAACGGG